CUGGCAUAUUCCCCUUCGGUGCAGUUCCGGUCACGGUCGGCAGGGGCGCUGUAGAGUGGCAUCCAGUGGGCAGGGCCGGUGCGGUGAUUCCCCCGCGUCUGCAGGGGGCGCUGUGGCGCGAGCCCGGGAAGCACGUGGUAACGAGACGGGAAGGGAUAGAAGAGAGAAGAGAGGCUUCGCUUCACAAACCCUGGGGUGGCCGAUCCCGUGCUCCAGGAGGGCUCUCAGAAGCAGCAAGCCGGGAUGGCAGGAUGUCUCGGAAGGCAGAGUCAGAGGGUAUUGGGCUACAGUGCAGUGAAAACUCGGAGCAGUGCCGAAGAAGCAGUGGGAGCAGAGCAGCAAUAGCCCAGCAGGGCAGGGAGAGGCAAGCUCAUGAUCCUGGGUACCCAAGCAGAUGAGACAAUUUUGCAGCCCUUCAACUGAUGGAUCAUCCCUCAUCCCAACACACCUAUCACAUGCACAGUGACUCUACCUCAUCAACUGAAUGCAACCAGGCUACAUAGGAGGACAGUAGGAAACUCAGAAUAAUACCUGUCUUGUGGGAAGCACUACAGUGAGGGAUUUGUUUCUAGAUGGGCAGCUUCUAGGAAAAAAACCCACCCAAAGUCACCUUUAACUCUAU